UUCUCAUCUAGCUCUGCAGCUUGAAUAAGUUCUACUUUUUCAAAUAUGUAGGUAGGAUUGAACCCUGACAAAAUAGAGAAAUUAUAGUUGGUAUCUCCUGGGACAUCUUGGAACAAUGUCUUCAGUAUUAGUCAAGGGAAAUGGGUGUCAUCUUCUGCAGCUGGUGACCCACAGUUAAUUUUCAUCAGUGGCGGGAUUGGCCAAGCUUUCUCUGUCCUUGGCUGCUGUGCUAUGUCCCCGUUGGCUUGGAAUAGCAGGAAGCACUCGGUUUGUCCGCAGAGGUCCUCCAGACAGAACUGUGGAGAAAGAACAGAAUGGGAGUCUUUCAAGGUUUGCUUCUCUCAGAAUCUCAGGACAAAUGGAGGUGGCAGAAUAAGGAGU